AAUAGAGGUGAUCAACAAAGUCAACUAAUUUGUUAUUUUAUAAAUAAUAAAAAGUAUUACUUGAAAUUUCAAUCUAAAUAGUAAAUUAAAGUACUGUUUGUAGUGCUUUUUGGUAGUUUCGUAUAGACAUUCAAGUCUCUUCCUACUGGAUGGCCACAUGCAGCAUUAAGGAUAAAAAUCAUUCAAGGAAAUACCUAGUUGAGGUUUCAUAAAAAGUUUAACUGAAGAUGCAAUCUGUACAUAAGUCCAUAGAUACAAAAUCUAGGAAAAUAUGUUCCGUACCACAGUGUUCAUCAUAUUGUACGAAAGAUAUAUCAUUGCAUGCCUUUCCCUUAGAUCCCAAGCUAAAUAAAGCUUGGAAAACUGUACUGAAAAUUGGAAAACCUGUAACAAAAUAUAUGUUAGUUUGCAGCCACCAUUUUACUAAAAGUGAUUUUACUAUGACAACCAGUAAGAGACGGAGAUUGAAGAAACAUGUAAUUCCCAGUAAAAAAAUUCCUCAGCCGAGUCAUCCAACAACAAAAACAGCAGUUAAUCGGACAGACCGGUAUUGGUAAAUAACCAUAUUUUUAAACAUACCAACUAGUUACUUGAAUGUUUAUUUUUUUGCUAUUGAAAUUAAACUUUAAAAUGUCAUAUAUCAUAGUAUUUUAGUUUUAUUUUGAAGGUUGCAGAAAUGUGCCUGUGUAUCUAAAGAACAAAUGGAAAUUGAAAGUGGAGGUUCAUUACAACCAGAUAACACCAAUGUGGACAUGGGAAAGGGACCUGCAAUAAUAUCAAAGUUAAAUAAAGGUGUUAUAGUCUCACAUGUAGGCACAAUUUCUACUGAUUUUACUGAAGAUAAGGCAACACAAACUGAAUUUUAUGACUUUUUUCAGCUGUCACAAAUUUGAAAUUCUGAUGAAAAGUUGAUUAAUUUUUGUGGAAUCACUUCUGAUAUCUUGAAAACUCUCAAAAUGUACCCAAAAUACAGCAACUUUUAACAAAUGCAACUGGCGCAAUGGUAAAAUGUAACCCAUUGUUAUAUUGCACAUUGGUUUGAUAUCACGCAUGGAAAAGUUGAUGAAAAAAUAUUUUUUGAUAUAUUUAAAUGAAACCGAUAAUAAUAAAAAUAUUAGUAAUAGGUAAUUGAAAAAGUUCAACUACAUUUGAUGAUCAGUUAGAUAUUUUUAUUGCCAAUUCUAUAAAUUUCUAUGAAAUCUGACAUGACUUUUACUUUUUGGAUGGUAAAUUAAACUGGUAGUAUAAAAUUAAUGAAAAAAAAUUGUCUUAUUUAUUAUUUAUUUAAACAAUAAACAUGCAGCAUAUGUUAAAAAUAAUUUACCAAGAUUUUUUAAAUCAUUUCUGUUGCAAAAUUCUUAUUAAAAUCUACAAGAUUUUGCACGGCUAGAAUAUAGAAUUAAUGUUGUGGAAUUUAAACCUAGAAGUUUUCUCAAUAUAUUCACAAGGUUCCAAGAAGACUUUAGAAAGGCUCUGCUUAUUGUAAACAGAAACAUAAACAUAAUAAGACUUGCAGUUCUGGUGGACUAU